rnacentral:lncRNA from 1 species
GGGUGGGCCCAGCCCUGCGGCUCUGAGAAUUCCACUUUUACUUCACCUCUUGUAGAACCUUCUCUCCUGGUCCUGCCUGCUUGAGCAGAGCUAUUUAAACAGUUUUCAGUUUUUGCUGAUCGGCCCCACCUCCUUACUCCACAACCAUCUUUUGCAGCCUUCACACUUCUCAGUGGCAGUGCAGAGUUGAAGGAGGAACCCACUGUCUGCUUUAUUAGAACAGGGUCUUCUGUCUCUACCACUAGGAUUUUUCUUGUCUUAUGAUUACUUUUGGUAACUCUUCCUCCUCUCUUUCCCCUCAUCCCCUCCCACCUCCAGCCUACCCAGCGCUAGACUUCCAUCCUCUGAAGGAGGGGCAGGUGAAGCAGGCUGUGAUUUUCCUCCUCACCCCAUGUUCUGAAGCUGUCAGGGCUGUGACUGGCACCCUUGAUUACCCCUUCUCUUAUUGCUUUUGGGGAAUAGUGGGGGAGGAGUCUUUCUAGAACCCCUGGCCGCUCCUGCCCUUGAGUUUUCACUGUUUCCCUCCAGGCCAGAAAGUUCUAUUUGAGGAAGGGAAGGAGAGGGCAGCAAUGAUGCCUUUGAUCUGGAAUUGGACUUUACUCUAGUGGAGCAUAGGGGAGGCUCAGAUCACCUCCUCUCUCUGCUACUUAGCCCAGCUGCUUGGAGGACCCGUUACGGAGGCAAGAGGAACUGAAUUUUCUCCCAAGUGGGAAAGGGUCCCAAGCAAUCCAGAGAGGAUGUCUGUGUGGCUUUCCCUCCCUACCUCCCCCAACUCCUACACUGGCCUUUGUAAAUAAAU